UGUACUAUAUAUUGGUAUAAUGUUAUCAGUAGCUUAUUAUUUUUGUAACUGCAUUUAUAUAGGUCAUAUAAUAUGGACCGAAAAUGGAUGCCUGCCAAUCGAUUGUCAAAAGAGUAUGAAAAUGGAGUGAAGGAGUUUGUUGAGUUUGCAGUGAAGAAUGCAAAAGAUCCAAAUAGAGUCGUUUGUCCUUGUUUAAAAUGUUGUUUUGGAAAACGCGUUAGAGAAGAUGAACUAGAAGGACAUUUAGUAUGGAAUGGAAUUGAUCAAAACUAUACAUGUUGGAUAAGACAUGGUGAGAAAAAAAAAGGAAACAUUAAUUUUGAGAAUUGUUUGACAUAUGCUUCAACUGACUUCGAUACAGAUACAUAUGAAGAAGAUCUUUGGGAUUGUCCUAAAAUGUUUGAGAGUUUGUUGAGUGAUGCAGAGAAACCAUUAUAUAAUGGUUGUACUAAAUUCACAAGACUGUCGGCGAUAUUAAAGUUGUACAACUUAAAAGCGAGUAAUGGAUGGUCUGAUAAAAGCUUCACAGAAUUAUUAACACUCUUAAAAGAUAUGUUGCCAUAUGAUAACGAACUUCCCAAUCGAACCUACGAGGCUAAACGAAUUUUGUGCUCUAUUGGCAUGAGUUACGAAAGGAUUCAUGCGUGUCCUAACGAUUGCAUUUUAUUUCGAAACGAAUAUGAAUUACUUAAGGCGUGUCCAAAAUGCAAUGUCUCUCGUUAUAAGAAGAAAUAAUCUACUCCAGCAAAAGUCGUGUGGUAUUUUCCUAUAAUACCUCGAUAUAAGAAGAUUUAAGCGCAUGUAUCGCAGUGAAGAAGAUUCAAAACACUUGACAUGGCAUGCAAAUGAAAGAAUUAGAGAUGGAAAGUUCCGACACCCUGCAGAUUCCCCAUAAUGGGAAAAAAUUGAUCACGAGUAUCCUGAAUUCGGGAUAGAGUCAAGAAAUCUAAGACUUGCACUUUUUACUGAUGGAAUGAAUCCACAUGGUCUUCAAAGCAUCUCACACAACACGUGGCCUGUGAUUUUGUUAAUAUAUAACCUACCUCCAUGGUUAUGUAUGAAGCGUAAGUUUAUGAUGUUGUCUCUGUUAAUUUCUGGACCCAAACAACCGGGGAAUGAUAUCGACGUAUACUUGACUCCUUUAAUUGAAGAUUUAAAAAUUAUGUGGGAGACAGGUGUGGAAGUUUAUGAUGGGUAUAAGAAAGAAUGUUUCAAUUUGAGGGCUAUGUUGUUCGGCACAAUUAAUGAUUUUCCAGCAUAUGGUAAUUUAUCAGGAUAUAGCAUUAAAGGUCAGUGUGCAUGUCCUAUAUGUGAAGAGAGUACAAAUUGGAUGCGGUUGAAACAUUGUAAGAAGAAUGUGUUUCUUGGACAUCGUAGAUUUUUACCUUAUAGUCAUCAGUAUCGUGGGUGGAGAAAUGCAUUCAAUGGAAAAUCAGAGGAAGGUAAAGCUCCUUUAGCACCGACUGGAUAUCAAAUACUUGAAAAAGUACAAGGUUUGACCAAUAAAUUUGGCAAACCUUUUGCGGGAGAGCUGGUGAAAACUGGGUGGAAGAAAAAGUCAAUUUUCUUUGAAUUGCCAUAUUGGAAGUCAUUGUAUAUAAGACAUUUCCUCGAUGUGAUGCAUAUUGAAAAAAAUGUAUUUGAUAGUGUUAUUGGUACGUUACUCAAUGUUCCAGGAAAGUCUAAAGAUGACAUCAAUGCAAGAUUGGACUUGGUCGAUAUGGAAAUAAGAAAUGAAUUGGGUCCCAUAAAGAAAGAAAAUUGCACAUAUCUACCUCCAGUCGCUCAUACUCUAUCUAGAAAGGAAAAAAUUGUUUUAUGUAAAUUUCUACACGAAGUUAAAGUUCCAGAAGGAUACUCUUCAAACAUUAAAAUUUUGGUUUGUAUGAAAGACCUCAAGUUAAAAGGUUUGAAGACCCAUGAUUGUCAUAUUCUAAUGGAGCAUUUGCUACCAAUAGGUAUACGUUCCAUUUUACCUGAAAAAGUUUGACGAGCCUUAAUUAGAUUAGGUUUCUUCUUUAGGGAAAUUUGUAGUAAAGUGAUCGAUCCUCAGAAAUUACCGACAUUGCAGAUGGAAAUUGUUGUUACUUUGUGUGAGCUUGAAAUGUAUUUCCCACCCUCAUUUUUUGAUAUAAUGGUUCAACUUACUGUUCAUCUGGUUAAGGAGACACGACUUUGUGGGCUAGCUUAUAUGAGAUGGAUGUAUCCGAUAGAACGAUAUAUGAAAAUAUUAAAAGGGUACGUAAAAAGUAGAAGUAGACCAGAAGGUUGUAUUGCUGAACGGUACAUUGUUGAAGAAGCUGCUAAAUUUUGUACUGAAUAUCUGUCCAAUGUUGAAUCCACAGGGCUUAUAAAUACCUUAUAAAUAUUUCUAUUCCACAUUUUAUUCUCACAUUUUCCAUAUUUGUAUAUUAAUUAAUGUAUCCCUCAAAAGGCUACUGUUGUACGUAGCGAGUCCUGGAUGAAUUGUUGGGAAAUACAGUUUUCCCGUUCAUCUCACAAUAUAUUAUACUCAUGAAUUCAAACGCUCUUUCAAUCCUUACCUUAUUUAGAUGUUUUCUCAAACACAGAAAUCAAUGGAAGUUUUCAACUGCAACAGUAGACCGACAAGGUACAACGAGCGAAUCCGAAUAAACAGCGAGUUCACAAAAUCGUCGAGACACGAUUGAAAAAUUAUGCAAAGUAUAAAAAUAGUUGUUAAAUAAUUAAUAAUAAUUUUAGGAAAUUAAAGUGGAGUCAAAACAAUGAGAAUAAUUGUAAAAAAAGUCUUACCAACUCGUUUGAGCGCCAAAAUGGUACGACUUCAAUUUCAAUGAAAAAUGCAAAUGAGUAGUUUCUUCUUGAAGGUUUCGACAAGAGGAAUCCAAAAACGAUACCAUUUUUUUGAGUCGACAAAUGUGGUGAUCGGAAUUCGCCAAAAAUAGCUCGUCCAACGAAAGAUAUGCAGUUGUUUUUUAUGAAACAGAGCCACAAUUUAUAAAAUUGACACCAAAAAUGGAUUUAGUGGGCAAUUUUGUGUGGACAGAGAUUGGGAUCGAUUCAAACGAUUAAGAAUUGGUGGGAAUGAAUUUGAGAGAAAAAUUGUUUCGCUGCCAUUAGUCUGAUUUUCAACUUUUAUUUUUUUAAUUGCAAAAUGAGUGGUGUAGAUAGCAAAUAUAGAGGUACAAGAGUAAAAUUGUAAGGUCCAACACAAGAUAGUAAAGUCUGAGGCAGCGGGUGUAGGAAAUAAAAAUCCAACCUGUAAUAGCUCAAAAUUAAUAUGCAGAAGUAAAAAAAUAAGGGUGUAAACAGUCGUCUAGUCAAAAAUUCAUUUUCUAGGAAAUCUAAUUUUAGUCAAAACUCUCAUUCACAUAAUAAUAUUUUUUCUUAACAUAGAUAAAUCUAAUUUUAGUCAAAACUCUCAUACUCAAAAUAGUAACUAUAAUUAUUACUAUAAUAUGUUUUCAAAAUAAUAACAUAAAAAUACAUCAUCUUCAUAGAUUAGUCGAAAUGAUAAAAUAAAUAAAUCAAACCUCAAAAAGUUAUAUUAAUUACUAUAUCAAAAUGAAUAUGUAUAAAAUCAUCUUACCGUAACAACUAUAUAGAAAUAAAUAAAAUCAAUAUCAAUAUUACUAAUAUCUCAAGAUAAUUAUUUAUAAAAUAAUUAAUUAAAAUAAGAUAAAUUUAAAAAUAAUUAAAUAUAAUUGUGUGCACACUUAACAUUAGUCAGCAUACAAGGAAAUAUGAAAUUAACUACAAACAGACAUAUGCGUAAAAUCGCCUAAAAUCUUAUAUUUUAAAAUGUGUACACUAUAAAAUAUAAAAAUAUAAUAUUUGAUAUUUAUAUUACUCAUUUAAUCUAACAUGUACAAGAUUAAAACAUCAUAUAAAGAAAAUUAAUCCUAAAUUUAAUUAACUUAUAUUCUAAAAUAAUUUUAACACCAGUUUAAUUAUUUAAAAUUAUAUUUCAUCAAUAAAAUAAUUUAUUAUAAAAUUUGGAUUGUUAAAGUACCUUUAUCGUCUCUUCAACCAAGAAUCGUUCAAAUUGAUCCCCAAAAGAAGACUUUUUUAAAAAUUAACCUUCUAUGUUCAUAAGACUAGACUUUAUUUCCCUCACAUUGACCCACAAUUUAACCUUGACAUCAACACCUAUUGCUCCCAUCGCACCAAGGAUCUUAAAUUGAACACAUUCCACAUAAUUUAAAUGGUUUAGUUUUUGAGGGAAUAAUUUUAUUUCGUGCGAUGGGAUAUUUGUUUUGGCAUAUUUCUACUAUUUGUUCAUUUAUGAUCAUAAAUUUGAAUUAUCAUUUAGAUUCAGUUUUAAAAAGUUGGUUAUCUAAUAGGUAUAGUAAAGAAGAGGAUCAUGAAUUCAUUAUUUUUAAUAAAAACUGUUGUAAAAAAUUAAAAUUAUUAAUAAUUAUUCAAGAUGGAUUUUUAUCUUGACAUUUGUUGAUAAAAAAUAAUUAAUUAAUUGUCCAUAAAUUAUAAAUAAAGGAACUAAAUGAGAUUAAAGAAGCGAAUCUGUUAUACAAAUAAAAAAGAUCACAUACAUAAGUUUACAUAAAUAAUAAUACAUGGUAUGUAAAACAUAUACCAUCACUAUUUUUUUGAAAGGUAUACAACGUCAAUCUUAUUAUUAUUACUAUUUUGCAUAUUUAUAGUGUAUGCUUUAUUUUAUAUUUUAUUUUUACAACUAAUAAUACUUUAGCCUUCUAUCUAACCCAUUCCCAUUCCCAUUCCCUUUCCCUUUCCCUUUAUUCCCUUGUUUUAUUUCUCCUCAUUGGGCUUUUCUCAAACCCUUCCCAUUUCCUUUUCCCUUUCUUCCCUUGCUAUUUCCUUUGCCUUCUGCUUUGCUUCCUUUGCCAAAGCUAUUUUCUUUUGCUUUGCUUCCUUUGCCAAGCUUUUUUCUCCAUCAAUGAUUUCCAUAUUUUCGGAAAAAUUUGUAAAUUAUUAGUUCUCUUUGCCCAGUAUCCUUCAAAUUUCCUAUAUUUCUCUCUAUUCUUCUGUGCUUCGCUUUCCUUCUGCUUUGCUUCCCUUUCCUUCUGCUUUGUUUCCCUUUCCUUCUGCUUUGCUUCUUUCUUCAUCAUCCUUUCUUCCCUUGUUUUAUUUCCCGCACCAACGAGCAUAUUUUGAUCAAAAGAUUCUAUAUCUAUGGGUUUUCGCCCACCAUCAAGCUUAUCUACCAAAACAUUUUUCUUUGACUCUUUUGUAUAUUGUUUACCUUCUUUUAAUGUCUCUGUUGCCACAACAGAUAAAAGAAACAAUGAACAAAGGAAACACAAAUUAAAAGCUUUGAUUUUCAUCACUACAAUUUUUAAGAAUUUAAUUGUUGUGAAACAUAUGAAUAUACUCGGCAAGAUAAAUAGGUAUGAAAAUCAAAAGUAGAUUUAUUAAAUAAUAUAUUAUUUAAUUUUGAUUUAGUCAUUUAAUUUAUAUCUCAUUAGCUACUUAACUUUCAAGUUAUAAUACACUUACAUAAAUAUAAUGUUAUUUAUUAUAAGUUAUGUUAAAAAUAUAUAAUGUGGCCUUUAAGAUAUUAAUAUGUGUAUAAUAGUGUUGAUGUGGCAAAAUACAAAAAUAAAUAUAUUUUUUAAAUUCAUUUUUCUAAAAAAUAAAAAAUUUUAAAAAUUCUUCUAACCUAAAAAACGAAAAGUCAAUGUGGUUCUUAGAAUUUUUCUAAACAAAACAUAAAAGAUUAAUAUGAUAAUCAUUUAUUUUUAUAAUUAUCGCACUCAUAUUAUUAUACACACUACGUGAAAAAUGUCAUUUUAUAGCACGCCUUUUACAGUGCUUACUAAAUACAAGCCCUGUUGUAAACAUAUUUUAAAAAUAACGGAGCAUAUAACAGCGCUUUUAUCACAAGCGCUGUGGAGAAAGCGUUGUUGUAGGGUCAUAUAGCGUUUGCACAUAAUGUUUACAAGGCUUUUAUAGCGCUUUUACACACGCGCUGUAAAAUGAAGCGCCCUCACAUAAUGUUUUAUAGCGCUUUUUUGACAAGCACUGUAAAAGACAUGCGCUUUCAAAUAAUUAAAUGACCUAUUACAGCGCUUUUGUAACAAACGCUGUAAAAGACAUGCGCUUUCAAAUAAUUAAAUGACCUAUUAGAGUGCCUUUGUUACAAGCGCUGUAAAAGCAUCGCGCUUUCACAUUAUUAAAGGACUUAUUACAACGCUUAUUCUACAAGCGCUGUAAAAUCAUUAAUUUUAAAUAAAAAUCAUUUACUUUAAAUAAAUAAAAAUAAAUUUAAAACAAAUUAACGAACCCUCAUCACCUCUACUCUGGGAACCCUCAUCUCCUCUACGUACUGUGCGCCCUUCUACUGCUCCUCCUUUACAAAAAAUUGGAUACAUUGUCUCAGGUACUAUAUUUAUUAAUUUGUUGUUGUCACGAAAACUAAUAAAUUGUUACAUAAUGAAUAUUUUCUUUUUGAAAUUUGUUGAUCUGUUCUGUAUUAAAAUCUUUUCUGUUUUGAAAUUGUUAUAUAAUAAUGGACCUUGGUUUCCAUUUUCCAAUAUUCGAUAUGUGUACUAUAUAUUGGUAUAAUGUUAUCAGUAGCUUAUUAUUUUUGUAACUGCAUUUAUAUAGGUCAUAUAAUAUGGACCGGAAAUGGAUGUCAAAGGCUUUUAAAAAAACAGUCAUAUAACAUAAGAAAACAAAGAGGUCUUUUACAGCGCUUGUCCUUCUGCUGUGUUUCCCGUUCCUUCUACUUUGCUUCUUUUUCCAUCAUCCUUUCUUCCCUUGUUUUAUUUCCCGCACCAACGGGCAUAUUUUGAUCAAAAAGAUUCUAUAUCUAUGGGUUUUCGCCCACCAUCAAGCUUAUCUACCAAAACAUUUUUCUUUGACUCUUUAGUAUAUUGUUUACCUUCUUUUAAUGUCUCUGUUGCCACAACAGAUAAAAGAAACAAUGAACAAAGGAAACACAAAAUAAAAGCUUUGAUUUUCAUCACUACAAUUUUUAAGAAUUUAAUUGUUGUGAAACAUAUGAAUAUACUCGACAAGAUAAAUAGGUAUGAAAAUCAAAAGUAGAUUUAUUAAAUAAUAUAUUAUUUAAUUGGCUUUCGAGAAUAUUGAGCCAUUGAAGGGUUAUUGAGGUAAGUAAAGUGUGUAAACUUUGACAAUUACGAGGUUGUUUGAUAAUUUCUUUAAUAAUAAACAUAAUUCUAGGCUUUUGGUAAACAUAAUUAUCAUACGUUGUCAAUAAAAAAUAGUUAUUGACACGAUAAAAAAAAAUUACUCUUUUAAAUUUUUCUCAAUUUCCUUUGAUGUCUAUAAUUAUUAUUUAUUUAUUUUUGAUUUAGUCAUUUAAUUUAUAUCUCAUUAGCUACUUAACUUUUAAGUUAUAAUACACUUACAUAAAUAUAAUGUUAUAUUUUAUAAGUUCUGUUAAAAAUAUAUAUUGUGGCCUUUAAGAUAUUAAUAUGUGUAUAAUAGUGUUGAUGUGGCAAAAUAAAAAAAUAAAUAUAUUUUUUAAAUUCAUUUUUCUUAAAAAUAAAAAUUUUAAAAAAUUCUUCUAACCUAAAAAAUGAAAAGUCAAUGUGGUUCUUAGAAUUUUUCUAAACAAAAUAUAAAAGAUUAAUAUGAUAAUCAUUUAUUUUUAUAAUUAUCGCACUCGUAUUAUCAUACACACUACGCAAAAAAUGUCAUUUUAUAGCACGCCUUUUACGGUGCUUACUAAAUACACCGCUGUUGUAAAUAUAUUUUAAAAAUAAUGGAGCAUAUAACAUCGCUUUUUUGACAAGCGUUGUGGAUAAAGCGCUGUUGUAGGGUCAUAUAGCGUUUGCACAUAAUGUUUACAAGGCUUUUAUAGCGCUUUUACACACGCGCUGUAAAAUGAAGCGCCCUCACAUAAUGUUUGUUAGCGCUUUUUUGACAAGCGCUGUAAAAGACAUGCGCUUUCAAAUAAUUAAAUGACCUAUUACAACGCUUUUGUAACAAACGCUGUAAAAGACAUGCGCUUUCAAAUAAUUAAAUGACCUAUUAGAGUGCUUUUGUUACAAGCGCUGUAAAAGCAUCGCGCUUUCACAUUAUUAAAGGACUUAUUACAACGCUUAUUCUACAAGCGCUGUAAAAUCAUUAACUUUAAAUAAAAAUCAUUUACUUUAAAUAAAUAAAAAUAAAUUUAAAACAAAUUUAUGAACCCUCAUCACCUCUACUCUGGGAACCCUCAUCUCCUCUACGUACUGUGCGCCCAUCUACUGCUCAUCCUUUACAAAAAAUUGGAUACAUUGUCUCAGGUACGAUAUUUAUUAAUUUGUUGUUGACACGAAAACUAAUAAAUUGUUACAUAAUAAAUAUUUUCUUUUUAAAAUUUGUUGAUCUGUUCUGUUUUGAAAUUGUUACAUAAUAAUGGACCUUGGUUUCCAUUUUCCAAUAUUCGAUAUGUGUACUAUAUAUUGGUAUAAUGUUAUCAGUAGCUUAUUAUUUUUGUAACUGCAUUUAUAUAGGUCGUAUAAUAUGGACCGGAAAUGGAUGUCAAAGGCUUUUAAAAAAACAAUCAUAUAACAUAAGAAAACAAAGAGGUCUUUUACAGCGCUUGUCCUUCUGCUUUGUUUCCCUUUCCUUCUGCUUUGCUUCUUUUUCCAUCAUCCUUUCUUCCCUUGUUUUAUUUCCCGCACCAACGGGCAUAUUUUGAUCAAAAAGAUUCUAUAUCUAUGGGUUUUCGCCCACCAUCAAGCUUAUCUACCAAAACAUUUUUCUUUGACUCUUUAGUAUAUUGUUUACCUUCUUUUAAUGUCUCUGUUGCCACAACAGAUAAAAGAAACAAUGAACAAAGGAAACACAAAAUAAAAGCUUUGAUUUUCAUCACUACAAUUUUUAAGAAUUUAAUUGUUGUGAAACAUAUGAAUAUACUCGACAAGAUAAAUAGGUAUGAAAAUCAAAAGUAGAUUUAUUAAAUAAUAUAUUAUUUAAUUGGCUUUCGGGAAUAUUGAGCCAUUGAAGGGUUAUUGAGGUAAGUAAAGUGUGUAAACUUUGACAACUACGAGGUUGCUUGAUAAUUUCUUUAAUAAUAAACAUAAUUCUAGGCUUUUGGUAAACAUAAUUAUCAUACGUUGUCAAUAAAAAAUAGUUAUUGACACGAUAAAAAAAAAUUACUCUUUUAAAUUUUUCUCAAUUU
rnacentral:lncRNA from 1 species